UACGGAGGGUGCAAGCGUUAUCCGGAUUCACUGGGUUUAAAGGGUGCGUAGGUGGGUUGGUAAGUCAGUGGUGAAAUCUCCGAGCUUAACUUGGAAACUGCCAUUGAUACUAUCAGUCUUGAAUAUUGUGGAGGUCAGCGGAAUAUGUCAUGUAGCGGUGAAAUGCUUAGAUAUGACAUAGAACACCAAUUGCGAAGGCAGCUCGCUACGCGGUUAUUGACACUGAGGCACGAAAGCGUGGGGAUCAAACAGG
rnacentral:rRNA from 1 species